AAAAUCAAACUAGAGGCCUUCCAUUUGGGUCACCGCAGUAGUGCGAAAGAGAAUCAAAUUUCCCUCCGUCAUGAAAACUUCGGUUAAAUUGAACUGCUAAUGGAAUUUCCGGGCAGUAGCAACAGUGGCCAUUCUUCGACGGAGCUCUCUGCGUGCUCCUCAUCUUUUCCGUCGUGGUCGUUCUCCUCAUCGGAGUUUGAUCAGCCGUUUACAGAGCAACAACUCCAGGCAAUCGAGGCCAUUGAAGCUGCUUAUCAAUCCACCAGUGCCAAAAAACGACGACCAAAUUCCACACUCGACGAAAACGGGGUCUCAUGCGUUUCUCCCAACACCGGCCGUCGACUGCCUCGUUCCAUUUUUUCUCAGCAGUCUCCACAUUUUUCUCCCCUGUCAUCCUGUCGAGUAAACUCGAAGAUGAGGUUUCCUGCAUUGAGUUAUGGUGGCCGAAUUAUUUACAGUAGAACUGUAAGUGAGGUCGAUAGAGCGUCCAGGGAGCUAGCGAAGAAAAUCAACUCCACGAGGAAAGGAAUGGAGCAAAUUACUAUUGGGUUCGACAUCGAGUGGAGACCGUCAUUUAAAAGAGGUGUUCCACCCGGAAAAGCAGCAGUUAUGCAACUGUGCCUGGAAAAUUCUGAAUGCCAUGUGAUGCAUAUCAUUCAUUCGGGAAUACCUCAAAGUUUGCAGGCUCUUCUAGAGGAUGACACACUCAACAAGGCUGGAGUUGGGAUUGCCAGUGAUGCUUCAAAAGUUUUUAAAGAUUAUAACGUGUCUAUGAAACAAUUGGACGAAAUUUCGGAUCUAGCUAAUCAAAAGCUUGCUGGAGUUCCCAAAAAAUGGGGUCUUCGGGCUCUAACUGAGACGCUUAUAUCUAAAGAGCUUCGAAAGCCCGACAGAAUCAGACUUGGGAACUGGGAGGUGGCUGUGUUGUCAAAGGAGCAGCUGCACUAUGCUGCCACAGACGCAUUUGCUUCUUGGUAUUUACACGAGAUCUUAAAAGGAUUUCCACAUGUUGAAAAAGUAGCAGAUUCAGAGCCAAUAGCGUGAUGUUGUUGCUGUUACAAUAACACCCAAUGCACGCCUUGAGAUUGAAAGCUCAAUUCGCAGGCUAGGAUCGUGACAAGUGGAUGGCGGAGAUGGAGAGUGGAAGAGCUUGAGCACACACCAAUGGGGGCGUCAUCGUCAGGAAAUAGACAUACUUUAACACUCCCAUUUCUUCGUUUUUCUUCGCUCAGAAUUUACCACUCAUCAAAUUUUCUCUCGCGAUUCGUCCCAACGCCAUUUAUUCUCCUUCUUCUCCACUCUCUAUCACUGUUUCCAUGAUCCCAUCUCCUCCAUUUCUCUCCUUUUCAACGUCAAUUAGUGAGCUAUACAACUCCCAAUCAGUCUCCAUCUCUAAAACAGAGGAAAUUUUUUAAAACCCUCUCAAAAGUUUUGGACUUGCGAGGAGAUUGAAGUGAUUGUCGAUGUUCAUAUUGCGAAAAAAUUCUUAUACCUUGUUCCUCAAUUGGGAGUGAAGUUGUUGAAUGUUGUAUUAUCUAUUGAAAUGCUCGUUUUGUUGAGACAAGGGAUUUCAAUCCAUGAUCAUCGUCGCAUUCUCCUUCUGCCCUUUUCAAUUCUACGUGUGUUUUUGCCUGAAUUCGACAAAAAAACCCAUUGAUGUUGGGUUUAUUGAUUCGAUUCUAUCUAAUUGCAGCUUCACUCAUUGUUGAAGCAUUCGAUUCUGUUUGUUCCCUUUUUUACUUAUUUGGGAUUUUGAAUCGUUUGAGUGUUUGCUUCGGAGUGGGGUUUGAAUCAGCGAGAUCCGGGUUUACUUGGAAUUGGUCUCGAGGAUUUGGCAUUGCCGAGUUUUAAGUUCCACUUCAAUCCACUGGAUACUCAUACCUGUUGGCAGUGAUUCAUAAUUUGAGGAAAUAGAUCUGUGGAACAUAAAGCUUCUGUUGUUAUUUGCUUUUGAUCUUCAGAAGGGGAUGAUUUUUGCAAUGAAUUCUGGAUUCAAGGAGGAUUUUCUGGUUCUUGAUUGGCUUAGAGCACUUCAUAGAAGACUGGGUUAUAGUGGUCGUCUUUUCAUACUGAAGAAACCUUUUGGGUUGACAUAAUUUUUCCUUUUUUUUGCAAAAUUUCAUGCCAAGAAGCUUAGGUUUCAUUAGUUUGACUGAGUUGUAGUUAGUUUGGGAUUGUCUAUUCAAAUUUCUUCUGUGCAAAAGGCUAUUGAGUAAGUUUGUAGAACGAAUUUGAGGAAAUAUCAUUUACUGAAUGGGAGAAUUUCUGGUUGCUCAGAAACUAUUAAAGCUCUAGAAGAAUUAUAGAUGUUGAAAACAAGUACUACAUGGGGCAGUGGAGGGAACAAACUAGCUUCAUUCCCAACAAGAAAAAGUGAAAUAAUUCAAGAAUUCAAAAGCGGAUUUUGUUCUUGGUCGGCACAAUGUCGCGAUGCUUUCCAUUUCCACCACCUGGAUACGAAAAGAAAGCUAGGAUAGAGGAUCUAGACCCAUUGAAAAAGGUUGAGCAAACUUCCCUUCAGAUCAUACAAAGCAUGAUUGUGUAGGCCUCAUCAUAGGCAUAAUGAAGAGAAAAAAGAAUUUGGUUCUACAUGCUUGCUAAUUGAUUUGAAGCAUUUAUUCUGAUUUAUGUAAUAAACUGUUUGAAUUGAAUCUCAUGAGAGCUUUAUUACUUGCUCUUUUCUAGCAUGUGCUAAUCAUGAAUCAUAAGACUGAAAGUGACUGUUC